CCGACCAUACUUGAACAGGAUCUGUUCUAUAGGCUCGUACCUCUGUAUCCUUGAGUUCUAAGGAGACAGGAAACCAAGCCUGGUAGAUGAACUAUGGCCAAGAAGAUUUCACCCAGAGUGCAGGAU
rnacentral:snoRNA from 1 species